GGACUCAUAGCUCAGCUGGAUAGAGUACUCGGCUACGAACCGAGCGGUCACAGGUUCGAAUCCUGUUGAGUCCG
rnacentral:tRNA from 1 species